rnacentral:rRNA from 1 species
GACGAACGCUGGCGGCGUGCUUAACACAUGCAAGUCGAACGGAAAGGCCCUGCUUUUGUGGGGUGCUCGAGUGGCGAACGGGUGAGUAACAAGUGAGUAACCUGCCCUUGACUUUGGGAUAACUUCAGGAAACUGGGGCUAAUACCGGAUAGGAGCUCCUGCUGCAUGGUGUGGGUUGGAAAGUUUCGGCGGUUGGGGAUGGACUCGCGGCUUAUCAGCUUGUUGGUGGGGUAGUGGCUUACCAAGGCUUUGACGGGUAGCCGGCCUGAGAGGGUGACCGGCCACAUUGGGACUGAGAUACGGCCCAGACUCCUACGGGAGGCAGCAGUGGGGAAUAUUGCACAAUGGGCGGAAGCCUGAUGCAGCAACGCCGCGUGCGGGAUGACGGCCUUCGGGUUGUAAACCGCUUUCGCCUGUGACGAAGCGUGAGUGACGGUAAUGGGUAAAGAAGCACCGGCUAACUACGUG